rnacentral:rRNA from 1 species
AAUCUUGCGCAAUGGGCGAAAGCCUGACGGAGUGACGCCGCGUGGGGGACGAAGGCCUUCGGGUCGUAAACCCCUGUCAGAGGGAAAGAAGGGUGUCGGCGUGAAUAGCGCCGGCAUCCGACGGUACCUUCAGAGGAAGCACCGGCCAACUCUGUGCCAGCAGCCGCGGUAAGACAGAGGGUGCGAGCGUUGUCCGGAAUCACUGGGCGUAAAGGGCGCGUAGGCGGCUUUUCAAGCGUGCGGUGAAAGCUCGGGGCUUAACUCCGAGUCUGCCGUGCGAACUGGGAGGCUUGAGUCUGGUAGAGGUCGAUGGAAUUCCGGGUGUAGCGGUGGAAUGCGUAGAGAUCCGGAAGAACACCGGUGGCGAAGGCGGUCGACUGGGCCAGUACUGACGCUGAGGCGCGACAGCGUGGGGAGCAAAC